rnacentral:lncRNA from 13 species
UUUUGGGGUCCCAAGAUUCAUUUUUCUUUCACACAGUUUUUUGUUUUUUGUUUUUUUUUUGUAAGGCAGAGUCUUGCUUUGUUCCCCAGGCUCAAGUACCAUCACAGCUCACUUCAGCCUCAACUUUCUGGGCAAGUAAUCCUCCCAACUCAGCUUCUGAAGUAUCUGGGACAACAGCUGGCUUCCCAUCCAUUUGCUGAGAGCUACUUCGACCAUUCAAUAAAACCUUGCACUCAUUCUCCAAGCCCACAUAUGAUCCAACUUUUCCAGUACACCAAGGUAAGAACCUGGGAUACAGAAAGCCCUCUGUCCUUGUGGUAAGUCAGAGGGUCUAAUUGAGCUGAUAAAUACAAGCUGCCUACAGACAAAAAAACUGAAAGAGCACAUGGUAACACACACCUACUGGGGCUUCAGGAGCUGUAAACAUUCACCCCUAGAUGCUGCUGUGGGGUCAGAGCCCCACAACCUGCCGAACUGUACGCUCCCCUAGAGGUUUGAGCAAUGGGGCACUGAAGAAGUGAGCCACUCCUCCUGUUGCAUGCCCUGCGAUGGGAACAAGGGCACCUUUCCUGUUUCACCACUAUGCCUGGCUAAUUAAAAAAAUAUAUUUUUGUAGAGACAGAAUCUCAUUAUGUUGCCCAGGCUGGUCUCACACUCCUGGGCUCAAGUGAUUCUCUUGCCUCAGCCUCUCAAAGUGUUGAGAUUAUAGGCAUGUGCCAUUAUAAGUAAAGUUUUAUUAGAAUACAGCCAUGCUAAUUUGUUGCAUAUUAUCUAUGGCAGCUUUAUACAACAACAGAGUUGGUCAGUUGUGAUAGAGAGCUUAUGACCUGCAAAGCCUAGGAUAUUUACUCUCUGGCCUUUAACAAAAAUUUUGCCAACUCCUGGUCUGUAGUAAUAAGAUCAAUAAGGCUUCUCUUUAACUUUUACCUUCUUAGACAUAACUAUAAGGAAUUCUCAAAGCCUUUUUCUAAAAUUUAUCAUUUUAAGUUUGAUAAGUGAGAAUAAACUGUGUUUUGAUACCUCA